rnacentral:rRNA from 1 species
UACAGAGGUCUCAAGCGUUGUUCGGAUUCAUUGGGCGUAAAGGGUGCGUAGGCGGCGCGGUAAGUCGGGUGUGAAAUCUCGGAGCUUAACUCCGAAACUGCAUUCGAUACUGCCGUGCUUGAGGACUGUAGAGGAGAUCGGAAUUCACGGUGUAGCAGUGAAAUGCGUAGAUAUCGUGAGGAAGACCAGUUGCGAAGGCGGAUCUCUGGGCAGUUCCUGACACUGAGGCACGAAGGCCAGGGGAGCAAACGGG